CUGAGUUUGAGGACAACUGAGAGCUUGCCUUCCCAUUUCACAGAUGAGGAGAUGGAGGCCCAGAGACCUUGAGCACCCGGCCAAGGUCCCAGCGACAUAAUCUUAGACUCAAUACUAGAAUCCAGCUAUCACGACUCUUGGUCUUGGGAUCUUUUCACUCCUUGCAGGCAACAUCUGACACAUGUGACAAGCACUCAAGCCAGUUCUUUGAGGAACUGAGAAUUUGGAGACGAAAGGGAGUCUUGCCCUGAGGAGCCUGUGGCUGCAGGAAGCACUGGGUCCUAGCAUCAAAGGGAGAGAGAGACACGUCUGCGAGCUCAGAGAGACUGUCCCCACGGUUCCCAUCCUCCAUUGAAUGGCAGUUCCAACCAAAUCAGCACAAAUCCGGAAUUCACUAAAUAAAACCACCGGAAAACAAGGUCGAAGCGACCCAGGCCAAAAGAACCCAUAAAACAAGCGCCUUCCUAUCCAUCCUGAGAGGCGAGCUGCAGAGUGGCCCCAAGUGACAACGGGGGACUCGCGGCUGGGCCUCAUCCCCCACUCCAGCACCGCCUGGGAUGAAUCACACGACAGAGAACAACGGGGCUAUUUCUUAAGAGUCAUUUGUCAAGUUGACAUCCGCGCCUCGAGUUAUUUAGGGCUUUCUAAAGACGCUUCUUUCCCUCCCCGCCGCAGGAAGCACCUGCAUGGCUGUCGAGCUGUGGGUUUGCUCAAUGGCACUUUGAUAUCUCUUCAGGUCAUCAAUUACCCUGGUGUCCCCUCCCUGCAGGCACGGACUUUGGCCGGGACGAAGAUAGGCAGGCUUAGAGAGGAGGAUGGAGAGGAGGAUGAAGCCCAAGAGGACGGCAAGCUCCUCCCUGCCCCGGGAUCUGAGUCCAGACACCGUCUGGAGGCUACAGCUGCGGUGGAAGUGAAGGAACAAGUCUCUGUUGACAUGUCUGCCUUUCUGGAGCCUCCAAUGGAAAGUUUUAUGAAAAGUAAGAUAGAAGAGAGUUCAUGAGAAGGUAGAAGUGCAGUCUGGAAGGCUCCGAUUUAGAGGGCCUCACAGUUCCUUGUUUUGCAACACAGUCUGCUGGGCUUAUUCAUUACUUUGCCACUUGGUUCCAGAAGUUGGUCAACUGUUUUGGUAUCUCUGAGGAGUUAUCUUUUGUUGCUCAUAGCAGAUACAUCCUAGGAGAGCAAUUUCUUGGACUUCAAUUACCUGUGAAGUCUCUUUUGGAAAGGUUAAAACAAGUAUCAAGGGCACCAUUUUCUUGCUUUUUCUACCCAGAUACCCUAGUGUUUCAUGCUUCCAUGGAUAAGAAGAGAAAUCAUGGAAGGUGAAAAAUGGAGAUUUUAUUUUUUUUAUUUUUUAAUAACCCAGGGCUUCCUUCCUUCCUUCCUUCCUUCCUUCCUUUCUGUCUUUUUGUCUUUUUGCCUUUUCUAGGGCUGCUCCCGCGGCAUAUGGAGGGUCCCAGGCUAGGGGUCAAAUCAGAGCUGUAGCCAGAGCCACAGAAAAGCGGGAUCUGAGCCUUGUCUGCGACCUACACCACAGCUCACGGCAACGCUGGAUCCUUAACCCACUGAGCAAGGGCAGGGAUCGAACCCGCAACUUCAGGAUUCCUCGUCGGAUUCGUUAACCACUGCACCACGACGGAAACUCUGGCUUUAUUUUUUUAAUUUCGUUUUUACUCAAGUAUAGUUGAUUACAGUGCUGUGUCCAUUUCUGCUGUACAGCACAGUGACCCAGACAUACAUACAUACAUAUACUUUCUUUUUUCUUAUACUAUCUUCCAAAAGAGGGAGAUUUUAAAUAGAUUCAAGUCAAAGGAUGGAGUUGGAUACCAAUGGAGAGUAUGUAUGGUAAAAUAUUUCCGGUUUCAGAAAGAUCAUAGAAUGGAACAUUAUCACUAUCGACCAUCCUAAAAACUCUCUCACCUGGAAAUUCUUGGCACACUUGUUGAUAAUAAUAAUCACAAAGCUUGUAAUGAAAAUGACUGUAGUUAACAUUUAGCAUUUUU
rnacentral:lncRNA from 1 species